UGCAGAAGGAUCAUUAUUUAAUCUAAAUGAGUGCACUUAAUUGUGGCUCAAACUUUACACUUUUCACCCCAAAACUUGUUUGUGUGGCAUUUAUGCCAUUGCACUCAGGUAUACGUAACAUUUCUUUGUUACAUUAUCCCCCUCCCAAUUUUUUUUUUUUAUAUAAACACAAGUUGAAUGUAAGAAUGUAAAACCUUUUAUUUGAAAAAUAACUUUUAACAAUGGAUCUCUAGGCUCUCAUAUCGAUGAAGAACACAGUGAAAUGUGAUAAGUAAUGUGAAUUGCAGAAUUCAGUGAAUCAUUGAAUCUUUGAACGCACCUUGCACCUUUUGGUAUUCCAAAAGGUACACCUGUUUGAGUGUCAUGAAGAUCUCUCAUCAAAUUUAUUUUUGGUGGAUGUUGAGUGCUGCUGUUAUCCAGCUCACUUUAAAUAUAUAAGUUCUUCCUUAUGUUGUUGGAUUGACUUGGUGUAAUAUUUAACUUUGUUUUCAUCAAGGAAAGUAGCAAUACUUGCCAAUAUAUUAAGUAAGGACUCCUAAAAAACAACUAUUUCAUUUUUUAAGACCUCAAAUCAGGUGGGACUACCUGCUGAACUUAAGCAUAUCAAUAAGCAGAGGAAAA
rnacentral:rRNA from 1 species